rnacentral:rRNA from 1 species
GACGAACGCUGGCGGCGUGCCUAAUACAUGCAGGUCGAGCGAAGUUUUUCUGGUGCUUGCCCUAGAAAAACUUAGCGGCGAACGGGUGAGUAACACGUAAAGAACCUGCCUCAUAGACUGGGACAACUAUUGGAAACGAUAGCUAAUACCGGAUAACAGUAUUUCUCGCAUGAGAGAUAUUUAAAAGUUGGUUAUGCUAACACUAUGAGAUGGCUUUGCGGUGCAUUAGCUAGUUGGUGGGGUAAAGGCCCACCAAGGCGACGAUGCAUAGCCGACCUGAGAGGGUGAUCGGCCACACUGGGACUGAGACACGGCCCAGACUCCUACGGGAGGCAGCAGUAGGGAAUCUUCCGCAAUGGGCGAAAGCCUGACGGAGCAACGCCGCGUGAGUGAAGAAGGAUUUCGGUUCGUAAAGCUCUGUUGUUAGGGAAGAAUGGAUAUGUAGUAACUAUACAUGUAAGAGACGGUACCUAACCAGAAAGCCACGGCUAACUACGUG